AUGGACAAGAGGUCCGGCGCCGGGUUCUGCUCCAAGUCGACGUCUGGCUCGGGGUUCUUCCGCAUGAGGAUGAAGGUACCCGGAGGGUACACGGCCGGAGUCGUCACAGCUUUCUUUCUGAUGUCAGUACCACCUCAGAGCAGUGACCGCGACGAGGUGGACUUCGAGUUCCUGGGCAACGUGGACGGCCAGCCCAUCACCCUCCAGACCAACGUCUUCGUCAACGGCCACGGCAACAGGGAGCAGAGGCUGAAGCUGUGGUUCGACCCGGCAGCCGACUUCCACGAGUACAAGAUACUCUGGAACCCUCACCAGCUCGUGACAUUUGUGGACGAUGUGCCGAUACGGGUGCUCAGGAACCUGACGGGCCGUGUGCCGGAGUACGAGUUCCCGGCGAAGCGGAUUGGCGUCUGGGCGAGCCUGUGGAACGGUUCCGAAUGGGCGACGGACCGCGGCAGGAUCAAGAUCGACUGGAACCGCGCGCCGUUCACCGCGGGGUACCAGGGCUUCGGUGUCGACGCCUGCGCCAACACCAGCUCGACGCCGUGCCACUCGAGGAACUGGUGGUGGAACGCCCACCGGUACAGGAGGCUGUCCGCCCGGCAGCGUGCGGCCUACGAGAACGUCAAGAAGACGUACGUGUACUACGACUACUGCGCCGACAAAGAUCGGUUCAAGAACACCACAAUGCCGGUUGAGUGCAGCCACAGUAGCUACUUAGCCUACUAG
rnacentral:rRNA from 1 species